CCUACGGGUGGCUGCAGUGGGGAAUAUUGGACAAUGGGGGGAACCCUGAUCCAGCCAUGCCGCGUGUGUGAAGAAGGCCCUCGGGUUGUAAAGCACUUUCAGUGAGGAAGAACGCCUGGUGGUUAAUACCCAUCAGGAAAGACAUCACUCACAGAAGAAGCACCGGCUAACUCCGUGCCAGCAGCCGCGGUAAUACGGAGGGUGCGAGCGUUAAUCGGAAUUACUGGGCGUAAAGCGCGCGUAGGUGGCUUGAUAAGCCGGUUGUGAAAGCCCCGGGCUCAACCUGGGAACGGCAGCCGGAACUGUCGAGCUAGAGUGCAGGAGAGGAAGGUAGAAUUCCCGGUGUAGCGGUGAAAUGCGUAGAGAUCGGGAGGAAUACCAGUGGCGAAGGCGGCCUUCUGGACUGACACUGACACUGAGGUGCGAAAGCGUGGGUAGUAAACAGGAUUAGAUACCCGGGUAGUC
rnacentral:rRNA from 1 species